GAUGCCCACGGGACGCAGCAGUGGGGAAUAUUGGGCAAUGGGCGCAAGCCUGACACAGCAACGCCGCGUGAAGGAAGAAGGCUUUCGGGUUGUAAACUUCUUUUCUCAGGGACGAAGAGAGUGACGGUACCUGAGGAAUAAGCCACGGCUAACUACGUGCCAGCAGCCGCGGUAAUACGUAGGUGGCAAGCGUUAUCCGGAUUUACUGGGUGUAAAGGGCGUGUAGGCGGGACUGCAAGUCAGAUGUGAAAACCACGGGCUCAACCUGUGGCCUGCAUUUGAAACUGUAGGUCUUGAGUACUGGG
rnacentral:rRNA from 1 species